GCGGCGUGCUUCAUACAUGCAAGUCGAACGAGAAGCAGGAGCUUGCUCCUGUGGAGAGUGGCGGACGGGUGAGUAACACGUAGGAAGUCUGCCUUUGGGUGGGGGACAACAGUUGGAAACGACUGCUAAUACCCCAUAUGAGCUUGGUUGCAAUACCAAUCUUGAAAACUCCGGUGCCUAAAGAUGAGCCUGCGUCUGAUUAGCUUGUUGGCGGGGUAAUGGCCCACCAAGGCGACGAUCAGUAGCUGGUUUGAGAGGAUGAUCAGCGACAAUGGAACUGGGACACGGCCCAUACUCCUACGGGAGGCAGCAGUAGGGAAUUUUGCGCAAUGGGGGAAACCCUGACGAAGCAACGCCGCGUGAAUGACGAAGCCCUUCGGGGUGUAAAGUUCUGUCAGUAGGGAAGAAUUUUGACUGUACCUACAAAGGAAGCACCGGCUAACUCCGUGCCAGCCGCCGCCGUAA
rnacentral:rRNA from 1 species